rnacentral:rRNA from 1 species
CGUAGUGGCGCACGGGUGCGUAACGCGUGGGAAUCUGCCCUUGGGUUCGGGAUAACAGUUGGAAACGACUGCUAAUACCGGAUGAUGACUUCGGUCCAAAGAUUUAUCGCCCAGGGAUGAGCCCGCGUAGGAUUAGCUAGUUGGUGAGGUAAAGGCUCACCAAGGCGACGAUCCUUAGCUGGUCUGAGAGGAUGAUCAGCCACACUGGGACUGAGACACGGCCCAG